CAAAAAAGGCAAUACAGCGGCAAUAAAUAAAGCAAGAGAGAAAGGUUGGCAGGAAAUUGCUGAUCGUCUCAAUGCCAGCAACUUAAGUGAAGGAAAAAGAACCUGGCAGCAGGUGAAAAUAAAAUAUAAAAAUAUAGUUCAGAAUGCGACCAAAAAGAAGACUGAGGUUGCUGGCACUGGGGGAGGGCCACCACCAGCCAGCUUCACUCCUGCAGAGGAGCUGGCUUUGGAAAUUAAUAAAG